UGAUUUGAAGAGCUUGCUCAGAUAUGACGAUGGACAUUGCAAAGAGUGGCGAACGGGUGAGUAACACGUGGGAAACCUACCUCUUAGCAGGGGAUAACAUUUGGAAACAGAUGCUAAUACCGUAUAACAAUAGCAACCGCAUGGUUGCUACUUAAAAGAUGGUUCUGCUAUCACUAAGAGAUGGUCCCGCGGUGCAUUAGUUAGUUGGUGAGGUAAUGGCUCACCAAGACGAUGAUGCAUAGCCGAGUUGAGAGACUGAUCGGCCACAAUGGGACUGAGACACGGCCCAUACUCCUACGGGAGGCAGCAGUAGGGAAUCUUCCACAAUGGGCGAAAGCCUGAUGGAGCAACGCCGCGUGUGUGAUGAAGGGUUUCGGCUCGUAAAACACUGUUGUAAGAGAAGAAUGACAUUGAGAGUAACUGUUCAAUGUGUGACGGUAUCUUACCAGAAAGGAACGGCUAAAUACGUGCCAGCAGCCGCGGUAAUACGUAUGUUCCAAGCGUUAUCCGGAUUUAUUGGGCGUAAAGCGAGCGCAGACGGUUAUUUAAGUCUGAAGUGAAAGCCCUCAGCUCAACUGAGGAAUUGCUUUGGAAACUGGAUGACUUGAGUGCAGUAGAGGAAAGUGGAACUCCAUGUGUAGC
rnacentral:rRNA from 1 species